AACGAACGCUGGCGGCAUGCCUAACACAUGCAAGUCGAACGAGACCUUCGGGUCUAGUGGCGCACGGGUGCGUAACGCGUGGGAACCUGCCCUUAGGUUCGGAAUAACUCCCCGAAAGGUGUGCUAAUACCGGAUAAUGUCUUCGGACCAAAGAUUUAUCGCCUUUGGAUGGGCCCGCGUUGGAUUAGCUAGUUGGUAGGGUAAAAGCCUACCAAGGCGACGAUCCAUAGCUGGUCUGAGAGGAUGAUCAGCCACACUGGGACUGAGACACGGCCCAGACUGCUACGGGAGGCAGCAGUGGGGAAUAUUGGACAAGGGGCGAAAGCCUGAUCCAGCAAUGCCGGGUGAGUGAUGAAGGCCUUAGGGUUGUAAAGCUCUUUUACACGGGAUGAUAAUGACAGUACCGGGAGAAUAAGCUCCGGCUAACUCCGUG
rnacentral:rRNA from 1 species